rnacentral:rRNA from 1 species
CUAAUACACGCACGUCCUCGAACUCCUCUACCCACACGGCCAUACAGUUCUAGACAGCGACCACACGACAUUCCUCAUCUUAAGACUUAAAUUCAACCUCUGUUGUAAAGACUUGGAACAUGUCUUGACCCGAAAUGUGUUGACCCACAAAAGUCCAUGAGGUAGUCUCCUCGUCAAGAAGGUACCCCAGGUCGUCGCAAAGGUCAGCGUCCAUAUGCAUAACAGACUUUGAUACAUGAGGAGGAACGCUGCUCGGUCUGCUGUUCUCGUUUCCGAGGGGGAACGUUCGAGCUGCCAUCGCCGCCGUAGAAGAAGCGUCGUCAUGCUUCUCUAGUGUUAGAAUGAUUCUAGGACAAGGACCCGCCCAAUCACCGGCAGCUGGUGUUGGUGGUGGUGGUCAUCGGCCGCCGGCUUCACCUGGUCGCGCCGCCGGCUUAGCCCCCGCUUCACCUGGUCGCGACGCCGCCACCCGCCAUCUUAACCCCCGUUUAACCUGGUCGCACCGCCGCCACCUGCCGCCUUAGCCCCCGUUUCACCUGGUCGCGUUGCCGCCACCCACCGCCUCCGGGACGAGCACCCAUCCGUCGCCUCCAGGAGGACCCGCCCGAGCAGCCGCCGCGUACCGGACAACACCCGCCGGAGGACCCGCCCGAGCAGCCGUCUCGUCCUGGACGAGCCCGUUGCCCGCCGACCGGUACCGCGGCGCGCCCGCUGCCUGCCUCCUCCUUCUUGCUCUACCCCUGAUUAAACAGACUCGAAAUCUUCAAGUUCCCGAAAAGGCGUUUUUGUAGUGACAUGACGCGCACGCUGUACAAAAACAAAAAGUCCUGCCUCCCUCAUGAUUCCAUGUGCACGUAACGUGCGUACUCUAAGCCGUUGGUUUAAUACUUAUUUAUGG